rnacentral:rRNA from 1 species
CAGCAGCCGCGGGAAUACGAAGGGGGCUAGCGUUGUUCGGAAUUACUGGGCGUAAAGCGCACGUAGGCGGACAUUUAAGUCAGGGGUGAAAUCCCGGGGCUCAACCCCGGAACUGCCUUUGAUACUGGGUGUCUAGAGUAUGGAAGAGGUGAGUGGAAUUCCGAGUGUAGGUGAAAUUCGUAGAUAUUCGGAGGAACACCAGUGGCGAAGGCGGCUCACUGGUCCAUUACUGACGCUGAGGUGCGAAAGCGUGGGGAGCAAACAGGAUUAGAUACCCCGGUAGUCCCUGUCUCUUAUACAC